rnacentral:tRNA from 1 species
GAAAGAGGCAUAAGCAACGAAAACUGCUAAUUUUCGCCUCCCGGACUAACAUCCGGGCUCCUUCG